GGGCCUGAUGUGGCUUCGACAGGCCGAGGAUAGCCGAUACCGUGAAGCAGGCCGAGAGCGAGUCCCCUCUCGAUAAUCAAGGCUCAACUCCAAAGUAAGUGCGAACAACAUCGUUCCUUUCGCUCGCAAGGCAGCCCCGGUUGCUGCCUAACCACCUCAAUCAGUAGGUAGCGAGCCUUCGCCACCCGACGCCGCUAAGGGUGGCGGAGCCAAAAUCAGCGGCUGCUCCCUGAGGCCGGGCCCCGGUCGGCCUUGGGGCUAAGCUCAACCGGGGAACCCCGCUACCCGGGAUAAAGGGUAACCCCCGCCGCGCGGGUUAAAGCGGCUAAGCCUGUGAACGAGCGGUAGGCGCGUACUCGGUCUGGACGGCGGUUCGACUCCGCCCAGGUCCAUUU
rnacentral:tmRNA from 1 species